ACCUGGACAGCAUACCGACGAUGCUCCUUCCUCACCGGUCUUUCGCCGACUGAUGAAGCACCGUUGGACCUUCAAACAAGCCGGAACUAACCCGAUAAUUCGGGCAAUUGCAACUUUCCGGAUCGAUCUCUCCCGCCAGCUGACUGAAUAGAGCGAGCUGAAAACGAGACAAAGCAUCUGCCAUUGAAUUCUGACAACCAGGAACAUGUUUCGCCUUUAACCAUAUAUUAUGUUUGAAAGCUCUAAAAACUAUUUGGC